rnacentral:tRNA from 257 species
GCGGAUGUAGCCAAGUGGAUCAAGGCAGU